UAACUUCUGGGGUGUUUGUCAGUGUUCUGAGUUCCCGAGCCAAUAUACACACCCAGGGUGUCAAUUCCUUUGCUAUUGUGCAAGCCUGGCAUGUACCAGGAAGCCUGCGGUAAUAAUUGCCACCCGCCUUGAACCGUAUGGUUCGAGGACCAAAUGUUCACAGCGGCACCUUGGAAGUUUA
rnacentral:other from 1 species